AGAGAUGCUGUGGCGUCCACAGGGGCCGGGAGUCAGGGUUCAGCCCGAGUGGGAGACGGGGAAGGAGAGUUCUGGGAACCUUCCCUGUAUACUGUCAAAGCCAUCCUGAUUCUGGACAAUGAUGGAGAUCGACUUUUUGCCAAGUACUAUGACGACACCUACCCCAGUGUCAAGGAGCAAAAGGCCUUUGAGAAGAACAUUUUCAACAAGACCCAUCGGACUGACACUGAUGCUUAUGGCUGUUCUGAACUGUCUCUUCGACUCAUUGAGCCAGAUGCUGAGGAAAAAUGUAGAAAAGCGAGCACUGCUGGAGAACAUGGAGGGGCUGUUCUUGGCUGUGGAUGAAAUUGUAGAUGGAGGGGUGAUCCUAGAGAGUGAUCCCCAGCAGGUGGUACACCGGGUGGCAUUAAGGGGUGAAGAUGUCCCCCUUACGGAGCAGACCGUGUCUCAGGUGCUGCAGUCAGCCAAAGAACAGAUCAAGUGGUCACUCCUUCGGUGAAGACCUCACUGUUCCUGGCUCUUCAUCCUCUUCAAAAAAUUUGCAUGUCUGCUGU
rnacentral:sRNA from 1 species